AUGAACGCUGGCGAUGUGGAUAAGGCAUGCAAGUCGAGUGGGUUAGACCCACGGCGGACGAGGUAGUAACACGUAGAUAACCUGCCCCAGAGUCGGGCAUAACCAGCCGAAAGGUUGGAUAAUUCCCGAUGGUCCCCAUACUUAACUGUAUGGUGUAAAGAUUUAUCGCUCUGGGAGGGGUCUGCGGUCUAUCAGCUAGUUGGUAGGGUAAUGGCCUACCAAGGCUUCGACGGAUAGGGGAGGUGAGAGCCUGACCCCCACCGGUGGUACUGAGACACGGACCUCACACCUACGGGUGGCCGUAGCCGAGAAUAUUCGACAAUGCGCGCAAGCGUGAUCGAGCGACAUCGCGUGGUGGAUGAAGUCCUUUGGGAUGUAAACACCUUUUAUGGGGGAGGAAGUUAUUGACGUUACCCCAUGAAUAAGAGGUUGCUAACUCUGU
rnacentral:rRNA from 1 species